GCCGAGGUAGCUCAACUGGUAGAGCAAUCGCUUCGUAAGCGAUAGGUUGUGGGUUCGACCCCCAUCCUCGGCU
rnacentral:tRNA from 1 species